AUCUAAGUACCCCGAGGAAAAGAAAUCAACCGAGAUUCCCCCAGUAGCGGCGAGCGAACGGGGAGGAGCCCAGAGCCUGAAUCAGCAUGUGUGUUAGUGGAAGCGUCUGGAAAGGCGCGCGAUACAGGGUGACAGCCCCGUACACAAAAGCGCAUGUGCUGUGAGCUCGAUGAGUAGGGCGGGACACGUGGUAUCCUGUCUGAAUAUGGGGGGACCAUCCUCCAAGGCUAAAUACUCCUGACUGACCGAUAGUGAACCAGUACCGUGAGGGAAAGGCGAAAAGAACCCCGGCGAGGGGAGUGAAAAAGAACCUGAAACCGUGUACGUACAAGCAGUGGGAGCACAGGUUUACCUGUGUGACUGCGUACCUUUUGUAUAAUGGGUCAGCGACUUAUAUUCUGUAGCAAGGUUAACCGAAUAGGGGAGCCGCAGGGAAACCGAGUCUUAAU
rnacentral:rRNA from 1 species